GCCGGAGUGAUGGAAUUGCCAGACAUGCACGACUUAAAAUCGUGUGGGCUUAGCCCGUGCGGGUUGGAAUCCCGCCUCCGGCA
rnacentral:tRNA from 1 species